UACGGGGGGGGCAAGCGUUGUUCGGAAUUACUGGGCGUAAAGGGCUCGUAGGCGGCCAACUAAGUCCGACGUGAAAUCCCCCCGGCUUAACCUGGGAACUGCGUCUGAUACUGGGAGGCUAGAGUGCGGGAGAGGGAUGCGGAAUUCCAGGUGUAGCGGUGAAAUGCGUAGAUAUCUGGAGGAACACCGGUGGCGAAGGCGGCAUCCUGGACCGACACUGACGCUGAGGCGCGAAAGCUAGGGUAGCAAACGGG
rnacentral:rRNA from 1 species